UAGCGACAGGCCUAACACAUGCAAGUCGAGGGGCAGCACAAGGAGCAAUCUGAGGUGGCGACCGGCGCACGGGUGAGUAACACGUAUGCAACCUGCCUGUAAGCGGGGAAUAACCCGUCGAAAGACGGACUAAUACCGCAUAAUACUAAAUUACUGCAUGGUAAUUUAUUUAAACAUUUAUGGCUUACAGAUGGGCAUGCGCAUGAUUAGCUAGUUGGAGAGGUAACGGCUCCCCAAGGCAACGAUCAUUAGGGGUUCUGAGAGGAAGGUCCCCCACACUGGUACUGAGACACGGACCAGACUCCUACGGGAGGCAGCAGUGAGGAAUAUUGGUCAAUGGACGAGAGUCUGAACCAGCCAAGUCGCGUGCAGGAAGAAUGUCCCUAUGGAUUGUAAACUGCUUUUGCAGGGGAAUAAAGUGCAUCACGUGUGAUGUUUUGUAUGUACUCUGCGAAUAAGGAUCGGCUAACUCCGUGCCAGCCGCCGC
rnacentral:rRNA from 1 species